CCUACGGGUGGCAGCAGUGGGGGAUAUUGCACAAUGGGGGAAACCCUGAUGCAGCGACGCCGCGUGUGGGAAGACGGUCCUCUGGAUUGUAAACCACUGUCCCCAGGGACGAAGAUGCCGGUACCUGGGGAGGAAGCUCCGGCCAACUACGUGCCAGCAGCCGCGGUAAUACGUAGGGAGCGAGCGUUGUCCGGAAUUACUGGGUGUAACGGGAGCGUUGGCGGGACUGGAAGUUGGGGGUCAAAUCUACCGGCUCAACCGGUAGUCGCAGUCGAAACCGGGGUUCUUGAGUGAGGUAGAGGCAGGCGGAAUGCGUGGUGUAGCGGUGAAAUGCGUAGAUAUUAGGAGGAACACCAGUGGCGAAGGCGGCCUGCUGGGCUUUUACUGACGCUGAGGCUCGAAAGUGUGGGGAGCGAACAGGAUUAGAUACCCGGGUAGUC
rnacentral:rRNA from 1 species